GAUGAACGCUGGCGGCGUGCCUAAUACAUGCAAGCCGAGCGAACAGACGAGGAGCUUGCUCCUCUGACGUUAGCGGCGGACGGGUGAGUAACACGUGGAUAACCUACCUAUAAGACUGGGAUAACUUCGGGAAACCGGAGCUAAUACCGGAUAAUAUAUUGAACCGCAUGGUUCAAUAGUGAAAGACGGUUUUGCUGUCACUUAUAGAUGGAUCCGCGCCGCAUUAGCUAGUUGGUAAGGUAACGGCUUACCAAGGCAACGAUGCGUAGCCGACCUGAGAGGGUGAUCGGCCACACUGGAACUGAGACACGGUCCAGACUCCUACGGGAGGCAGCAGUAGGGAAUCUUCCGCAAUGGGCGAAAGCCUGACGGAGCAACGCCGCGUGAGUGAUGAAGGUCUUCGGAUCGUAAAACUCUGUUAUUAGGGAAGAACAAAUGUGUAAGUAACUAUGCACGUCUUGACGGUACCUAAUCAGAAAGCCACGGCUAACUACG
rnacentral:rRNA from 1 species